CCGCCUCCCGCCUGGUCUCGGGUCCUAGCGCCGCCGGCGGAGACCAGUAGCAUGGAGGGAGGCCUGGGGCGUGCUGUGUGCUUGCUGACCGGGGCCUCCCGCGGCUUCGGCCGGACGCUGGCCCCGCUCCUGGCCUCGCUGCUGUCGCCCGGCUCCGUGCUUGUUCUUAACGCCCGCAACGACGAGGCACUGCGGCAGCUGGAGGCCGAGCUGGGCGCCGAGCGGUCUGGCCUGCGCGUGGUGCGGGUGCCCGCCGACCUGGGCACCGAGGCCGGCUUGCAGCAGCUGCUCGGAGCCCUGCGCGAGCUCCCCCGGCCCGAGGGGCUGCAGCGACUGCUGCUUAUCAACAACGCGGCGUCCUAAAGGCCUUCCCGGCCAGUCCUGGCCUCAACAGAACCGUGGUUAACAUCUCAUCCCUCUGUGCCCUGCAACCUUUCAAAGGCUGGGCGCUGUACUGUGCAGGAAAGGCUGCUCGUGAUAUGCUGUUCCAGGUCCUGGCGCUGGAGGAACCUAAUGUGAGGGUGCUGAACUAUGCCCCAGGUCCUCUGGACACAGACAUGCAGCAGUUGGCCCGGGAGACCUCCAUGGACCCAGACAUGCGAAAAGGGCUGCAGGAGCUGAAGGCAAAGGGGAAGCUGGUGGAUUGCAAGGUGUCAGCCCAGAAACUGCUGAGCUUACUGCAAAAGGACGAGUUCAAGUCUGGAGCCCACAUGGACUUCUAUGACAAAUAAGCGCAUGUUUUUGGCUUCCUGAACCUUUUUGCCCCCACUUUCAGACAUACCCCAGAGCCCUGUGGCUCCCCACACCCUGCCAUAGGGGCAGUCCUGCCUUACACAUAGAAGCACUCAUGCCUGCUGCCCUGCCCUCAGGCACAGCCAGCUGUGAGCUCCCAGGUCAUUGGCCUUACCAGUUGUCAGGAGUCUGUGCUGUGCACCCUAGGUUAUGAG
rnacentral:sRNA from 1 species